rnacentral:lncRNA from 1 species
ACAUAGUCAUCUAUAAAAGAGGGACGAAAGAUACCAAAGGGACAGUCAAACUCAUAAAUCUAAAACAAACUGACAACGCCAUGGCUAAAAAUGAAAAAGACAAACAGAAAAACAAUAGUACACAUAACACAACAUAGAAAACUAAAGAAUAAACAACACGAACCCCACCAAAAACUAGGGGUGAUCUCAGGUGCUCCGGAAGGGUAAGCAGAUCCUGCUCCACAUGCGGCACCCGUCGUGUUGCUUAUGUGAUUACAAAUCC